UACGAAGGGGGCUAGCGUUGCUCGGAAUCACUGGGCGUAAAGCGCACGUAGGCGGCUUCUUAAGUCAGGGGUGAAAUCCUGGAGCUCAACUCCAGAACUGCCUUUGAUACUAAGGAGCUUGAGUCCGGGAGAGGUGAGUGGAACUGCGAGUGUAGAGGUGAAAUUCGUAGAUAUUCGCAAGAACACCAGUGGCGAAGGCGGCUCACUGGCCCGGUACUGACGCUGAGGUGCGAAAGCGUGGGGAGCAAACAGG
rnacentral:rRNA from 1 species